rnacentral:rRNA from 1 species
GAUGAACGCUGGCGGCGUGCCUAAUACAUGCAAGUAGAACGCUGAAGGAGGAGCUUGCUCUUCUGGAUGAGUUGCGAACGGGUGAGUAACGCGUAGGUAACCUGCCUGGUAGCGGGGGAUAACUAUUGGAAACGAUAGCUAAUACCGCAUGACAACAGUUAUUGCAUGAUAACUGUUUAAAAGGGGCAACUGCUCCACUACCAGAUGGACCUGCGUUGUAUUAGCUAGUUGGUGGGGUAACGGCUCACCAAGGCGACGAUACAUAGCCGACCUGAGAGGGGGGUCGGCCACACGGGGACUGAGACACGGCCCAGACUCCUACGGGAGGCAGCAGUAGGGAAUCUUCGGCAAUGGACGGAAGUCUGACCGAGCAACGCCGCGUGAGUGCAGAAGGUUUUCGGAUCGUAAAGCUCUGUUGUAAGAGAAGAACGAGUGUGAGAGUGGAAAGUUCACACUGUGACGGUAGCUUACCAGAAAGGGACGGCUAACUACGUG